GAUGAACGCUGGCGGCGUGCUUAACACAUGCAAGUCGAACGGAAAGGCCCAAGCUUGCUUGGGUACUCGAGUGGCGAACGGGUGAGUAACACGUGGGUGAUCUGCCCUGCACUUCGGGAUAAGCCUGGGAAACUGGGUCUAAUACCGGAUAGGACCACUUCUUGGAUGUUGUGGUGGAAAGUUUUUUCGGUGUGGGAUGAGCUCGCGGCCUAUCAGCUUGUUGGUGGGGUAAUGGCCUACCAAGGCGUCGACGGGUAGCCGGCCUGAGAGGGUGUACGGCCACAUUGGGACUGAGAUACGGCCCAGACGCCUACGGGAGGCAGAAGUGGGGAAUAUUGCACAAUGGGCGCAAGCCUGAUGCAGCGACGCCGCGUGGGGGAUGACGGCCUUCGGGUUGUAAACUCCUUUCGCUAGGGACGAAGCGUUUUGUGACGGUACCUGGAGAAGAAGCACCGGCUAACUACGUG
rnacentral:rRNA from 1 species